rnacentral:rRNA from 1 species
GCUGCAGUUAAAAAGCUCGUAGUUGGACCUUGGGUUGGGUCGGUCGGUCCGCCGCAUGGUGUGCACCGGCCUUUUCGUCCCUCCUGCCGGCGAUGCGCUCCUGUCCUUAACUGGACGGGUCGUGCCCUCGGUACCGUUACUGUGAAGAAAUUAGAGUGCUCAAAGCAAGCCCACGCUCCGGAUACCUUAGCAUGGGAUAACAUCAUAGGAUUUCGGUCCUACUGUGUUGGCCUUCGGGAUUGGAGUAAUGAUUAAGAGGGACAGUC